rnacentral:rRNA from 1 species
UUUCGCAAUGCCCGAAAGGGUGACGAAGCGACGCCGCGUGUGGGAAGAAGGCCUUCGGGUUGUAAACCACUGUCGGGAGUUAAGAAAUGCAAGGAUAUUAAUAGUGUCUUUGUUUGACUAAGGCUCCGGAGGAAGCCACGGCUAACUCUGUGCCAGCAGCCGCGGUAAUACAGAGGCGGCAAGCGUUGUUCGGAAUUAUUGGGCGUAAAGAGCACGUAGGCGGCUAUGUAAGUCGGUUGUGAAAGCCUUCCGCUCAACGGAAGAACAGCAUCCGAUACUACAUGGCUUGAGUGCGGGAGGGGAGAGUGGAACUUCUGGUGGAGCGGUGAAAUGCGUAGAUAUCAGAAGGAAUGCCGGCGGCGAAAGCGGCUCUCUGGCCCAUAACUGACGCUGAGUGUGCGAAAGCUAGGGGAGCAAACGGGAUUAGAUACCCCGGUAGUCCUAGCCGUAAACGAUGGGCACUAAGUAGAGGGGUUUU